rnacentral:tRNA from 1 species
GCAAUGGUAGUUCAGUGGUAGAAUUCUUGCCUUCUGUGCAGGAGACCAGGGUUCAAUUCUUGGCCAAAGCA